UAUCAAAAAAUGCCUUGUCAUUCAAUACCAAAUGUCAAUACCUAAGGAGUAAAUCUCAUCAGCGUCAAUGAGCCGAUAAGCACACAGCAUGCUUCUACCGAGAUCGAAUAACAUCUGUGAUUGGCUGCCCA